rnacentral:rRNA from 1 species
UACGGGGGGAGCAAGCGUUGUUCGGAUUUACUGGGAGUAAAGGGCGCGUAGGCGGUCAGCACAAGUCAGUUGUGAAAUCUCCGGGCUUAACUCGGAAAGGUCAACUGAUACUGUGCGACUAGAGUGCGGAAGGGGCAACUGGAAUUCUCGGUGUAGCGGUGAAAUGCGUAGAUAUCGAGAGGAACACCUGCGGCGAAGGCGGGUUGCUGGGCCGACACUGACGCUGAUGCGCGAAAGCCAGGGGAGCGAACGGG